GGUUCCAUGGUUUAACGUUAACACCCUGGACUUUGAAUCCAGUAACGAAAGUUCAAAUCUCACAGAAACUU
rnacentral:tRNA from 1 species